rnacentral:rRNA from 1 species
UGGGGAAUAUUGGACAAUGGGGGCAACCCUGAUCCAGCCAUGCCGCGUGAGUGAUGAAGGCCCUAGGGUUGUAAAGCUCUUUUGUGCGGGAAGAUAAUGGCGGUACCGCAAGAAUAAGCCCCGGCUAACUUCGUGCCAGCAGCCGCGGUAAUACGAAGGGGGCUAGCGUUGCUCGGAAUCACUGGGCGUAAAGGGUGCGUAGGCGGGUCUUUAAGUCAGGGGUGAAAUCCUGGAGCUCAACUCCAGAACUGCCUUUGAUACUGAGGAUCUUGAGUCCGGAAGAGGUGAGUGGAACUGCGAGUGUAGAGGUGAAAUUCGUAGAUAUUCGCAAGAACACCAGUGGCGAAGGCGGCUCACUGGUCCGGUACUGACGCUGAGGCACGAAAGCGUGGGGAGCAAACA